AUUGAACGCUGGCGGCAUGCCUUACACAUGCAAGUCGAACGGCAGCACGGGAGCAAUCCUGGUGGCGAGUGGCGAACGGGUGAGUAAUAUAUCGGAACGUGCCCAGUCGUGGGGGAUAACGUAGCGAAAGCUACGCUAAUACCGCAUACGAUCUAUGGAUGAAAGCGGGGGAUCGCAAGACCUCGCGCGAUUGGAGCGGCCGAUAUCAGAUUAGGUAGUUGGUGAGGUAAAGGCUCACCAAGCCGACGAUCUGUAGCUGGUCUGAGAGGACGACCAGCCACGCUGGGACUGAGGCACGGCCCAGACUCCUACGGGUGGCAGGAGUGGGGAAUUUUGGACAAUGGGCGCAAGCCUGAUCCAGCAAUGCCGCGUGCAGGAUGAAGGCCUUCGGGUUGUAAACUGCUUUUGUACGGAACGAAACGGCGAGCUCUAAUACAGUUUGCUAAUGACGGUACCGUAAGAAUAAGCACCGGCUAACUACGUGCCAGCCGCCGCGGUAA
rnacentral:rRNA from 1 species